UGCUGACAAAUGACGUCACGACUCACGAUGGAUAGGAAUGAUGAGAGCCCGGGGAAGAGCGCGCCCUAUCUUCAAAACAUAUAACCUCAAAUUUGACAUUAUUUAAUAUUUAUUAAUAUAAAUAAAUGAUUAAAUUUAAUCGGCAAUCUAAAUCUAUUAAUUUCUAUAUAAUUGAUAAGGAUAUGUAUUCGUUGACUCCAAUGAAUGUAUAGUAAUACUUAUUAUUGAUCAACAUUUGCAUCCUGGGCAACCUCGUAGAAAACCGUCUCCCUACAGAACUAAUCAACCUAUUAUUAUUUAUUUUACUAGGACUAGUAUCAUAGAUUAGUUUAACGUUUCGAUAGUUGUUCAAAAUGCCUCGAAAGGCUAAAGUUAAAGGUAAUCAUGAGAAUAAGGCUGGGUAAUCGCGCAUACCAAAAAACAUCACUAUUCAAACUAAGCAAGAGAUACUAGCGGGGUUUGAAAGUGGAAAGAAAGAAAUGGAGUUGGCUCGUUCCCACGAUCUUCAUGAAUCCACGAUAAGGACCAUAAGAAAAAAUAAACACCAGAUUGAGCUUACUGGCAAUAUUAAUAAAACUGACCAUUUUUUAUACGAUUGGAUUACUCAUCCGUCAAAAAAGGAUUCAGUCUUACCUCUCACAAUGUUCAAAAUAAAGCUAUUGCUAGUAUAUUUGAGAGUAUUAAAAAUGAAGAAUAAUCAGAUAGUGCUUCGUGUUUAAAUUUUGACGCCAGCGAGUCUUGGUUGAGAAAAUUCCUUCAGAAAUUCAAUAUACAAUAUCUAAUACCGUAAGAAAAAGCUACGAAUACGACGGAUGUAAAGGAUCUAUUUGAAACCGUUAACCAUGAAGAAAAUCAGAAAAUUGAAUCAGAUCCAGUAGAAAUGUUAGUGAAUGAAAAUAGUUUAAUUACAGCGGUUGAAAAGCUACAAAAACUUUCGUGUAUAUUGAGAAAAGCUAAUGAACUAAAAAAUGCAGUUGCAGACUUUGAGGAAGACGAAAAACGAAAGAAAGCCUUUCAAACAAAUGUUGAUGGAAUGAUUAGUUAUUACGGGGACAUUUAUGAGAUAUUUCAGGCUCUGUGCAUCUUCUUGAAAGUUGAGGGCCCAAAGACUUUGAUAUAUAUAUAUAAUUACAUAUUGUUAUAUGUUGAAUGACCAACAGUCCUAAUUUUCCCGGACAUGUUCUGUUUUUACAUCCUGUUGAGAACGUCCGGAAGACGUUAUAUAAAUUCAUGAAAUGACCGGAUUAUUAUGGGUUAAGUCGAUUUUACCAAUAUAAAAAGAUUACAUGUUUGUGCAAAACAAGACGGUUCCCUAAUUUAAUGUACAUCAUGUACGUAUAAUUCUCAUCUGUAUUAUUUUACGACUACGUUUGUGCAAUUCCAUGAAGCUGGUAGUCAUCAUGGAUUUCAGGCAACUUUGAAAAAAUUAUAAAGAAUAUACAACUUUGCUGAGUCUGGAGUAAAUUAAGCUAUUAGAAAAGUGGUCAUGUUGUGUUCUGUAUAUCAGUAAACAAAGAUAACGAAAUAUCCAAAAAGGGAAAUAUAUACGUUGAGGGAUAACAGUCUAGUGGAACAAAGUGCUCGGAAUUUGAAUCAGCUAAUUCGAGCGAACCGAUGAAAUUUGGUUGAGUAUUUAUCUCUCUGAUUACUACAAAUGAGAGCAAUCGAAUCUUCAUACUCUAAGUACACUCCUGCAGAACACACGUUUUGAGAAAACCCUGUCGUGCCUAACUGGAAUAUUAGUAAAACAUUCAUCAGCAAAGAUUUAAGAAAAAACAACCGUAUUUGGGUUACACGCUGAUAAG
rnacentral:lncRNA from 1 species